UACGUAGGGGGCAAGCGUUGUCCGGAUUUACUGGGCGUAAAGAGCGUGUAGGCGGCCACGCAGGUCCGUUGUGAAAACUGGAGGCUCAACCUCCAGCUGUCGACGGAAACCGUAUGGCUAGAGUCCGGGAGAGGAGAGUGGAAUUCCUGGUGUAGCGGUGAAAUGCGCAGAUAUCAGGAAGAACACCCGUGGCGAAGGCGGCUCUCUGGAACGGUACUGACGCUGAGACGCGAAAGCGUGGGGAGCGAACAGG
rnacentral:rRNA from 1 species